CCCGGUAGACAUUACCAUACACACUUUCAAUAUCAAACCCCAUUCCUAUUUCCCUCUCAUUCUCACUUUUACAUUCAUUCUGCUUCCUCCCUUCUCUCUCCACAAAAGCUUGCGACUGCUUCCUCCCUUCCACCGCAACCAUGUCUAGAGCACCUAUCAUGAUUUCUGACUUGAAACUCGAACAAAACGUGUGGAAAAUAGCUAUUCGUGUUGUCGAUGUAUGGGACGUCAAGGAACGCAAUGGCCAGCAACAUCUUGAAGCCAUUAAUCAAGAUGCAAAGGGUGAUCAAAUCCAUGUUGUAUCCCGCUCUCGUGGCUUUGAAAGAUGGAAGAAGACCUUGUAGGAAAUGAAAACCUUUGUCGUCUAUAAUGGUGAAACUAUGUUCAAUGACAUGCCUCUGAAAGUUUAUGAUACAAGGUGUUUUUUAAUUGUGCCACAACUAUCAUUGUCGUUGACGUACCAGACAUUCCACAACACAAGUUCAACUUCAAGUCCUUCACUGAUUUCAAAAGUGGAGAUUUCAUUGUUGAUCGCCUUUACGAUAUUCCUUGACAAACUUUGUUCUUAGUAGAUUCCAUAUUAGAAGCAUAUCCUUUACAGUAUUAAUGACACACUUUGUUUUCUAAAUUGUGCACAUUGUCUUUUUCAGAUGUAAUAGGUGUUGUCCAACAAGUUGUUAGGACUCAAGUAUCAGGUGCUGGCAAAUUUUUCUACUGCAGGUGUGAGUUAAAUUUUUCUGCUGCAGGUGUUGUAUCAUGUCAAAAAUGAAUUUAAAAGAAUAGAAUGCAGGGCAGGUCUACUCUUUGGUUGCUCACUUCACUGUGUUUGUUGUUUUAAGUUGAAUGUGCAUAAUUUCAUUACACUAACUCGUGAUCAUGUUUAAUGUUACAUGGUCUUCGUGAAAUAACACGGCAGCAAGGAUCUUGAAGGUUUUGUGCUCCUUAAUUUUGACGAGCUAAGGACUUUACUGGGUCAAGUUUUUACAUGUUAUUAUUGCACAUGCUUAAUGCUUGCAGCUUAAUGAGAGAUUAUUGCACUUGCUGAAUGCUUGCAGCUUAAUAAGGGAUUGUUCUUUUUUUAUUUCUAUCAUAAAAUACAGGUUGCAUUCACCUCAGUAUCCCUGUCAGCACCCUGUAAUGCCUUUUAUCCAUCCUGAACAUAUUCACCAGCGCUUUGCACAGUGUAGGCCAGGCUUGGCUGUAUGUAAAAGUAUUGAGGAAGUGAAUUUGAUAAUAGGCAGGUCGCUGUCAAAGUGUUGAAAUCAGAUGCAGCUGAAGGAAUGGCACAAUUUAACCAAGAAGUUGAAGUUUUGAGUUGUAUAACAUGUCCAAUUUACAAAAAUGCAUCUGGAAUUACAAAAAUUUACAUGUGUUAAUUUGUCCAGAAGCAUAUAGUAAACCUUGUCUCAAUAGUAUAUGUUAAGUAUGGUGAAUCUGUACUGAGUCGCUUUAGUUUGUGUUUUGUAUUGAAAAUAAUCUUAAUUUGUUGUCUUCUUCAUGAAAAUGAUU